rnacentral:rRNA from 1 species
AUUGAACGCUGGCGGCAGGCCUAACACAUGCAAGUCGAGCGAGCGGCGGACGGGUGAGUCAUGUCUGGGAAACUGCCUGAUGGAGGGGGCUAACUACUGGAAACGGUAGCUAAUACCGCAUACCAUCAGAUGUGCCCAGAUGGGAUUAGCUAGUAGGUGGGGUAACGGCCCACCUAGGCGACGAUCCCUAGCUGGUCUGAGAGGAUGACCAGCACCAAUGGAACUGAGACACGGUCCAGACUCCUACGGGAGGCAGCAGUGGGGAAUAUUGCACAAGGGGCGCAAGCCUGAUGCAGCCAUGCCGCGUGUGUGAAGAAGGCCUUCGGGUUGUAAAGCACUUUCAGCGGGGAGGCGUUACCCGCAGAAGAAGCACCGGCUAACUCCGUGCCAGCAGCCGCGGUAAUUC